ACGGAGGGGAGAUCCAGAUUCAAACACGAAGCGGAGGCGCAGGAGCCAAGCGCUGCAAACCAGCACCAAUAAGGAGGAACAAUGAAGGAGUGGCAAGGCUGGAGUUCUAAAGCUUUCAUCCUUCAAACGGCUACAUGCUCCCGUUGCCAACAGAGGUUUUGCUACAUCUGGGAAGAGGUCACUUUUUGAAAUUCUGUAUGCAAUUUUGAGAAAAAGAAUGAUAUUCCUUUUCUCACUCUCCUAAAAAAAAUACAGAAGUUAUUUUCUCCCUUGCCAAAAAAAGAAGAAGAAAACCAAAAAGAGAAAUCAGUUUGAGAUUUGAUUGCACAGACAAGAACAGAGGCCUUGCCAGACCAUGGCAGAUGACUCAGGAAGCCUUUAAUCUUGGCUCCAACCUGGUCUCUGCCUAAGGGUUCAGAAAAAGGGCUGCGCCAUGGAGUAUUCUGGUCUGUAAAAGAAAAAAGACUUUUUAAGAGUCUUCUGGAACUCGGUCUGCUUAAUAAGGUAUCACCUUUUCCAGAAUCAAGGAAGAGAGGAAAGAAGGGAAGAAAGAUGGGAGGGAGAAGGAAGGAAACACAGAAAUUUAAAUUGUUGCAACGACAAUUUACAAGCCAGUGGUGAAGCUCAUCCUUGAGGAUCCAAAAGGGUCAUAUGUUCUGGUCGGUUUUGUUAUCUAUGUUGUUG
rnacentral:sRNA from 1 species